AUACAUGCAGUCGACGCGUUGGCCCAAUUGAUUGAUGGUGCUUGCACCUGAUUGAUAWUKGGKYGCCARCGAGUGGCGGACGGGUGAKUWACACGUAGGUAACCUGCCCAGAAGCGGGGGACAACAUUUGGAAACAGAUGCUAAUACCGCAUAACAACGUUGUUCGCAUGAACAACGCUUAAAAGAUGGCUUCUCGCUAUCACUUCUGGAUGGACCUGCGGUGCAUUAGCUUGUUGGUGGGGUAAYGGCCUACCAAGGCGAUGAUGCAUAGCCGAGUUGAGAGACUGAUCGGCCACAAUGGGACUGAGACACGGCCCAUACUCCUACGGGAGGCAGCAGUAGGGAAUCUUCCACAAUGGGCGCAAGCCUGAUGGAGCAACACCGCGUGAGUGAAGAAGGGUUUCGGCUCGUAAAGYUCUGUUGUUAAAGAAGAACACGUAUGAGAGUAACUGUUCAUACGUUGACGGUAUUUAACCAGAAAGUCACGGCUAACUACGUGCCAGCAGCCGCGGUAAUACGUAGGUGGCAAGCGUUAUCCGGAUUUAUUGGGCGUAAAGAGAGUGCAGGCGGUUUUCUAAGUCUGAUGUGAAAGCCUUCGGCUUAACCGGAGAAGUGCAUCGGAAACUGGAUAACUUGAGUGCAGAAGAGGGUAGUGGAACUCCAUGUGUAGCGGUGGAAUGCGUAGAUAUAUGGAAGAACACCAGUGGCGAAGGCGGCUACCUGGUCUGCAACUGACGCUGAGACUCGAAAGCAUGGGUAGCGAACAGGAUUAGAUACCCUGGUAGUCCAUGCCGUAAACGAUGAGUGCUAGGUGUUGGAGGGUUUUCCGCCCUUUC
rnacentral:rRNA from 1 species